UAACGCGGCGAUAGCACGUUGAAUACACCACUUCCCCAUGGAUCACUGAAGUUAAGCAACGUCGUCCCUGGUCGGUAUCCGGACGGGUGACCAUCUGGGCAUUCUAUGCUAUGCUAAAC
rnacentral:rRNA from 1 species